GAUCCUGGCUCAGGAUGAACGCUAGCGACAGGCUUAACACAUGCAAGUCGAGGGGCAGCGAGGGAGUGGCAACACUUCUGUCGGCGACCGGCGCACGGGUGAGUAACGCGUAUGCAACCUGCCCUUCACAGGGGGGAUAACCGGGAGAAAUUCCGACUAAUACCGCAUACGUCCUCCGGGGGCAUCCCCGGGGGAUGAAAGAAUUAUCGGUGAAGGAUGGGCAUGCGUGAUAUUAGGUAGUUGGCGGGGCAACCGG
rnacentral:rRNA from 1 species